rnacentral:tRNA from 1 species
AGCGAUAUAGUGUAAAGGUAGCACAGCAGUUUCAUUGUCUGCUAGAACUGGUUCAAUUCCUAAUGUCGCUC